GAGAGUGUGUCAGAGGCUGGGUCUUUGCGGGCAAGGUGAGUUUUCCUUUCAUUCAACUGGCCUACAAAGUCCCAGUUUUCGGCCCAUGUGACCAUCUC
ensembl:miRNA mir193a-2 microRNA 193a-2